ensembl:lncRNA
AUGCACACAAAUAUGGGUGCGGAACGAGGGCGUAGCAGAUGCUGUGGCACAGACAUGCACACACACACCCUUUUCUCUCCCUCAUUCUUAAUCUAUCACUACCUCCCUCCUUUCUGUCGUUUAUCAGUUUCUCUGCCACACAUUCUUUCAUUCUCCAUAACCUCAAAACUUGUGAUAAGAGAUUGGAACGAAGUGGCUAUUUUAGGUGGUUUCCCCUCAGGAUAUCCUUUUGGACAUGCUGUAUAUUUUCAAACUCUCGUUCAGAUUACCACCCAACCAUACGCUCAUGCAGAAAGUUACCCGACAACUUUUGCAGGCUGUGCACACGUCGCUAAUGCAGCAUGAGCAUAAACAAUUCAAAGCCCUUUAGCAAGUAACUGAUGAGCGACUGUAUGGAUUAGGAGCGAGAAGAACGAAUCAGAGCUUUUUCUUACAUCGCCUGGCUUAUCAAUCAACCGGCAGCACAUGCAGACAGCUGUGAGGAACUGCUUUGAUGCUGUCUGUAACUGUGUCUCUGUUUGUGCCCCCUCAAAACACUAGGGAGAGAAAGAGAGAGAGAAAGUCUCUAUUUCUGGAUGCAGUAGAUGUCUGGACGUCUGAACAAAGAAGACACAGACGAGAGGAGAAAGACGGCAGCUGAGUCCAUCAUACACUGCAGCAGUGAGCAACCCCUCCGUUAGGAUUAAUACAAAUCCACUAACACACAUACAAACACUCCAGAUAAGUAUACUGACACACACACACACACACACACACACACACACAUGCAUACAGACUAUUAUACAUACGGAUAUUCGUAAAAGCAUGUAGUAACACCACUGUACAUGGGACACAAUAUUUUUCAUAGAUUUUACAGGAGACAUAAUGUAAUACUUUUAUCAAAUAUGUAUGUGAAAAUCGAACACAACUGCCUUAUCUACUCAAAUUUAGCAUUUUUACCCCUCUAAACAGAUUCUAAACCCACCAAAGUGGAAUACUGUUACAUUUGUCAAUAUAAACAUUUAAUUUGCCACGUGUUUAGAUGAAGAAAAUGUGUGUGCUAACUUUAGACCCUCCCAUUGCCAUGAAGUGAAAAACUGUACUGAGAAAAACAUGCUUAUGUUCCCCAAAUGUAACCUCACAAACACACACAGCACGUAGCCAGAAAUCUACUUACCCACAACUUCAUCCGUUUGUUCCGCGUGGUGACCAUUCUUUAUAUUCAAACAUGAGAUAUCUGAAAAACAUGUACAGCACACGUUCUGCUCUGCUACUCUAUUUCACUUUGCUUUCUUUCUUAAGAGUCAGUUAAAUCCAGUUUCAACCUCCACCCUAAGCAACAAUAAGAGCGAGAGAGUGGUAGAAGCUAGUGAACACUCCAGACACAAACGCUCAGUGAAAAGACCACUGCCACUUUUCUGCAUUCUCUUCCACCCCCCACCCUCCUCUGCUCCGCUCCGCUCUCCUGCCCUCCCCUCUCCGAGACUCAGUCCUGUAGCAGAGCAGAAACCAUCUGGUACAGUCCAAAGUCCACUGCAACUCCAGCGAAUGGGUGACUAUGAGGAAGAAUUAAAAGUUACUGUUUGCACUGUAUUUAAUUUGAAUCAACACAGAGUAUGGAAUUGUGAGAGUACAUGUCUGUGUUUUUUUUUUUUGUUUGUUUGUUUUUUUUGAGAAAGGAACAAUGGCAGUCCUGACUUACUUGGUAAGGAAAGAAAAGAUAUUGGGGAAGAAGAAAUUAAACACUUUUUGCAUUUAUUUGUUUGUUAAAUGUCAAUUACAUGUUAAUCUAAUUUUUAGGUACAACUGACAGACAUAAAAGUAUAAAAAUAGCAUAAACCUUACCAUUCAAAGCACAGUAUAAUAUCUGGGGGGGAAGGAAAAUCUGAGCUUUAUUCAGAUGAGCUUUAUUCCAAAAAGGCAGUUUAUUGCACAAAGAUAGAUAGUUUACUACAAUGGCUAUAUAAUACAUCAGUAUACAGUAUAUAAGUACAUUGUAUACUUCAAAAGAUCAUGUUCAUGUUCUGAUCAUGCUCUGAUUGACAGUAUUAGAUGUGAUCUUUCAUUUAAAACUCCAAAAAAAUGCAAAAAAUCAUUUGAAUCUUAUGAUCUGAAUGUGAGACUGAUAAGCACAUUUUUUAACUUACAUAUAUUCACAAAGAACAGCGUAAAUAAAGAGAACUUGCCAGCAGAAAAUUUCUGCUUGAACAUUUUGGUCCACGCAGGUCACAAAUGUAAAUGUCACCCUAUGUUGCUCUUUUAGAUAUAUGUAGGUAAAGGUAAAUUUGACAAAACUUGUUUUUUCUUUCCUUUUAUCAAAGAAUUUCCCUCAUCAAGUUGUCUGUUCACUAUUUUAAAGACUCCAAACUUUUUGUGCCAACAAUAACUUCAGUAAAACAGAACCUUUCUUCUUGUAUACAGAUUUCAUACACAUCCCAAUCAAUCAUGCUCUAUCUUUUUUCUUCAAAUAGCAUUAUCAUUUUUCCAUCACAUCCUCUCUGAUCCAAAUUAUAAUAGCUAUGACUAAAAAAUAAAAAUAGUGUAAGCUGUGUUUCUACAUUCCUAAAUUAGUGAGAACCAGCUAAAAGUUGGACACACGUGAUUGAAUGUAUGGUUCACCCGAUCUUUAAGAACUUCUAAACACUUUAGAUUUAGUUUUGCUAGAAUUAGUUUUAGUUUUUGAGCGAAUGAAUGCAUAAUUUAUGCAAACAGUAGCUAUUCUGAAGCAGCAAAAUCAUGAGAUAUUUCUGAUCUGUUCAACAUUUUUGGUCACUACAUAAUUUCCAUUCUACAUUGUGUAAUUUCAAAGUUUUGAUGACUGUAUUAUUAUUAUUCUAAAAUGUGGUCAUAAUGUGGAACUAACUUUUUAGCUGAUACUGGAGAUUACUAAACCGCACCUGCACUAUUGUCAGGACUCAGCAUCGCUACAUAUAUAUCAUGUAAGUGUGUUGCAUAUGGAGAAUGAAUGAGGACAUCCUGAACUGUGUGUAUGUGUGGUUGAGGGCAAUCUGAAUGUUCUCUGGUGUCUGUCCUAGAAAUCCCUCAAUCUAAUAUAUCCCACAGCACUGACACCAAGAGCGGAUCUGUCUGCACAUAAUCUCCUCUUUUUUUCCUGACCCACAUUUACACAUUUACAUAGUGUGCAAGUUUAUAUAUACACAUCUAUAUAGCAUACAGUCUAACUAUAUGACGGCAGAUAAGGCACAUAACAUCCCACAGUCAAACCCAGUAAACAUGGUCACACCCAGAGCUUCUGUCAAGACCAUCUCUGAACACAGUGCUGCCAUUCACAGUUGAUCUGAUAGGGUCUUUCAUCGGGCUUAAUGUGUCAUGUUUGCUGUAUGCAUAAAGCAUCAGAGUCCAGCACGCAAUCUAGGAUCUAAGAAUUCAUGCAUCCCAAGACUGGCCAGCACUUCUGUAUUCACAGACAUAUACUGCUUUCACACAUGAAUGUAUAGGAGCCAUGGCUCAGUGAGCCUCACUCAGAGAGACACAGCUGUCCCCAGAGGCAGACCGCCCUUAAAAACCUUGUCUGUGUGUAUGUGUGGCAGAAAGAAAACUGUACAGAGUGCUAUCUGGAAAUAGCUCCAGUAAUCCAGCGAGCAGACAGAACAUUCUGUCUGUGUUUUGUACUGUGCUCUGCUAGCUUUGCUGAUUCAUAGCAAUGAGCAGAACACUGAGGACAGCUACAUGCAGACUGUGACUAGUACAGCUGGGAUGACACAGUGGCUCUAAGGGUAAUGCUAAAUAGACGGCCU